rnacentral:rRNA from 1 species
UACGUAGGUGGCAAGCGAUACUCGGAAUCACUAGGCGUAAAGCGCAGGUAGGAGGUUUGGUAAGUCUAUUGUGAAAGCUCCCGGCUUAACUGGGAGAGGUCAAUGGAAACUACCAGGCUAGAGUGCGGUAGAGGUAGCUGGAAUUCCCGGUGUAGUGGUGAAAUGCGUAGAUAUCUGGAGGAACACCGGUGGCGAAGGCGGCAUCCUGGGUCGGUAUUGACGCUGAGGAGCGAAAGCCAGGGGAGCAAGCACGGG